rnacentral:lncRNA from 1 species
GUUGAGAGAGUGACCAGCUACCUGUUGCCAGGGCCUGGGGUGAAAUAGCAAUCUGCCAAUAUUGUAAAUCAAUAGGUCCGACAAUAUACAAGGCUAAGGCCCACGUUCGUCUGCAUGAGUUCUGGUUGAUCCAUUGUUCAACUCAGAACGAUUCGGCUGAAAGAGAAUGGCAUGCAGCAGCAUUAGAAACUAUCAGCAUAGAUUCAAAUCUAAUACUCAU